GACGAACGCUGGCGGCGUGCCUAACACAUGCCAGUCGAACGGGCAUUCGUAAACAGCAGCCUCGGUGGGAGAUCACUAAUGAGAGUGGCGAACGGGUGAGUAACGCGUGAGCAACCUGCCUUUGACAGUGGGAUAGCCUCCGGAUACCGGGAUUAAUACUGCAUCAAAUCGUUGAAACACAUGUUUUAACGGUCAUAGAUUUAUUGGACAUAGUGGCGCUCGCGUCUGAUUUGCUUGUUGGUGAGAGAACCGACCACCAAGGCGACGAUCGGUAGCCGGGAUGAGAGAAAGGACCGACACAUUGGAGCUGGGACGCAGUCCAGACUCCUACGGGAGGCAGCAGUGGGGGAUAUUGCAAAGUGGGGGGAAUGAUGAUGCAGCGACGCCGCGUGAACGAAGAAGGUAUUCGUAUCGUAAAGUUCUGUCAUAUAUGAAGAUAAUGACGGUACCAAAGAAGAAAGCGCCGGCUAAAUACGUG
rnacentral:rRNA from 1 species